rnacentral:rRNA from 1 species
AGAGUUUGAUCCUGGCUCAGGAUGAACGCUGGCGGCGUGGAUAAGGCAUGCAAGUCGAACGGGCUGUCCCCGCAAGGGGACAUGCUAGUGGCGAACGAGUUAGUAACACCUUGGUACGUACCCGGAAGUCGGGCAUAACGGGGCGAAAGUUCCGCUAAUUCCCGAUAGUCCUUCACCGGUAAAGAUAUGGGGCAACCCACUUUGCUUCCGGAGCGACCUAGGCCCUAUCAGCUUGUUGGUGAGGUAAUGGCUCACCAAGGCUACGACGGGUAGGGGGCGUGAGAGCGUGGCCCUCAACGACGGAACUGAGAAACGGUCCGUACACCUACGGGUGGCAGCAGUCGAGAAUAUUCGACAAUGGGCGAAAGCCUGAUCGAGCGACGCCGCGUGCGGGAAGACGGCCUUCGGGUUGUAAACCGCUUUUGCGUGGGAAGAACUUUGACGGUACCACGAGAAUAAGGGGUUGCUAACUCUGUGCCAGCAGCAGCGAUAAUACAGAGACCCCAAGCGUUAUCCGGAAUUACUGGGCGUAAAGGGCGGGUAGCCGUCCGCAUUAGUCUGUCGUUAAAUCCUCCGGCCCAACCGGGGGGCCGCGAUGGAAACGGUGCGGAUAGAGCGGGUGAGAGGGAAGCGGAACGUGCGGUGUAGGAGUGAAAUCCAUUGAUAUUGCACGGAACACCAAAAGCGAAGGCAGCUUCCUAGCGCUCUGCUGACGGUCAACUGCGAAAGCGUGGGGAUCAAAAAGGAUUAGAUACCCUUGUAGUCCACGCCCUAAACGAUGUCGACUAGCUAUUGGGAGCAUCGACCCUUCCAGUGGCGAAGCUAACGCGUUAAGUCGACCGCCUGGGAAGUACGAACGCAAGUUUAAAACUCAAAGGAAUAGGCGGGAACUCGCACAAGCAGUGGAUCAUGUGGUUUAAUUCGAAUCUAACCGAGAAACCUCACCAGGGCUUGAAAUUCAGCUGCAUGCUCUAGAAAUAGAGAGGCCUCCGAGGGUGCUGGACAGGUGCUGCACGGCUGCCGUCAGCUCGUCUCGUGAGAGGUAUCCUUCAGUGGAUUAACGAGCGCAACCCCUACUGUGUGUUACAAGUGUCACACGGAACUGCUCUGGCAACAGAGAGGAAGGCGGGGAUGACGUCAAGUCAGCGUGGCCCUUUGAUGCCCUGGGCUACACACAUGAUACAAUGGACGAUACAAUGGGUCGCGAAACCGCGAGGUGGAGCUAAUCCCAUCAAAGUCGUCCCCAGUUCGGAUUAGAGGCUGCAACUUGCCUCUAUGAAGUCGGAAUUGCUAGUAAUCGCGAAUCAUCACGUCGCGGUGAAUACGUUCUCGAGUUUUGCACUCACUGCCCGUCAACUCAAGGGAGCCGGGAAUACCUGAAGAUCCAUAUUUUUAUGUGGGGACAUGGUAGGCUCGGUAACAGGGAGUAAGUCGUAACAAGGUAACC